rnacentral:lncRNA from 1 species
UAUUAUCCCUACUUUUUUCUCCAUCGUUGGUUUUGUUCCGUUAUUAUAGUGCGGACAGUGCAUAGAUGUGAAUAUCUAAAAACAAAUGUAUAUAAAUUCCAACUUAUUUAUCUUUUUGUUUUUUUUUUUUUUGUUAUUCGGCUUCGCCGCGGUUGACAAUGUUUUCUCGGGAUACCAAUCUGCUCUAUCCCCCACUCAGCUAUGUGUUGUUAUAAAUUGUUCAACAUAGACUUUG